UAAUUCCACAGAUGAGUGAAGACGUUUGUAGAUAAUUGUUUGUUUUUCCACCUGGAUGUUUGUUUCAAAUCCAGAUGGUAAGAACUGGUCUGAAUAGACAGUCCAAGCUUACCACUUUCCAUUAAAAUACCACCAGUUUUCCAGCCUCACAGGCAGAAGUUGUUAUUUUUUUGUCUUAUUUCAUCUUUUACUUGAGAAUACAUCUUUGAACCUUUAGCCCCUUCAUGAAAACCUACAAUUUAUUAAUAUCGGGGGGAAGAAUGAGACACCUUGGGCUGUUCUCAGCUUCCUUCUUCCUUGCUGCUUCUGAGCCUUUGCUUCUGUUGUCUCUCCGUGAAAUCCCUUCUCUUCAAAACUCUCAUCACCAACUCACCAGUGUUCAUCAAGCAUUUGAGUGCUUAUUAUGAUAGUAAUGUAUGAAAUUCAAAACUGUAUACUCUCCUCCCAUACCAGAACCUGCUAUGUUCCUUCCUACACCUCUAUGAGUAGAGAAAGUCUAGUAGGUAAAAUAGGUAUAUAUUCUAUUAGGGUUCACUAGGCAUAGUGGUGCUAGUCCUGCAAUAUAGGCCAAGAAAGAAAUUGGUCCCUUGGAUUAGGUCUGAAGGUAACUCAAAUAGUUUAAAUGGGUACAGGAUAAAAGAUUGUUCUGUAUUGUGAGGUGAAGAGUCAUGGUACUUCAACAUCUGCCAAUUUUAGAAAAUUUAUAAGGUACGAUGUGUAUAAGCAAGUGGCCAAAGCUGAUAAUUAAAAAGAAAGGUGAUGAUCAGAUUAUGAGGACCCUCACGUGACAGGCAAAGAAAUUAGGACUUUAUCCUUUAGAUAUUAGUAGUGAUUGCAAGAUUUAUAAAGGAGAAUAACAUGAACAUGUUUGCCUUUUAGAAAGAUCAUCCCUGGCUGUAUGUGGCAAGGACUGGAGAGAGGAAGACUCAGCAAGAAAAUCCUCACUAGUUGCUGGCAACUUGAUAUUGGCCUUCCCAGCCUCCAGGACUAUGGCAGAGUGGACAGUGAGAGAGAGAGACAGAGAGAAAGGUCUUCCUUUUCCAUUGGUUCACCCUCCAAAUGGCCACUAUGUCCAGCGUGCUGUGCAGAUCCGAAGCAGGAGCCAGGUGCUUCCUCCCAGUCUCCCAUGAGGGUGCAGGGCCCAAGCACUUGGGCCAUCCUCCACGGCCUUCCCAGGCCACAGCAGAGAGCUGGACUGGAAGAGGAGCAACUGGGACAGAAUCUGGUGCCCCAACUGGGACUAGAACCCGAGGUGCUGGUGCUGCAGGCGGGGGAUUAGCCUAUUGAGCCGCGGCACUGGCAGGUGCUUGAUUCUAGACUUCUCUUUGUGGUAAGCCAUUAAGCAAAUCAUUGAAAUAUGCAUACUUUUAUUUACAUGUGUUAAAAUUGAAUGAAAAUUUUACUUUAAAAAAUAUAAGCCAGUAGGAAAUUUUGUUUCCUUAAUGCCAGUCCUACAAUAACAACUUUAUCAUUGAGUCCAGUCCUGCUGUUUGAUAGAUGGUACAGCUGAGGCACCAAGAGCUAAGUAACUUGCUCCAGGUCUACCUUCAAGCUCAAUUUUAAUUAUUUGAAAUCUGAUUCAAUAUGAGAAUAUUAAAAUUCAGAGUUUUCUAGGUUUUUUUCUACUUUACUCAAAUAGAAGUAAAUUUUGCAUGAAAAUAGCUAAGAAGAAUUUGUUAUCUCGGGCAUUGCUUAAGAAACGUCAAACUCUCCACUGAAAAGACCUAUGAGUAACAUUGGGAAAGAAUAUGCCAACCUUCUGCAGUUAUUUGGCAUUUAAGAGCAGGAAGGAGGCUUUGCUUCAACAAUGGGCCAUUGUGAACUGGAUGCGACUCUAAAUGAAGGGAAAAAUAAACCAUGCUGUAAAAUGUCCCCAAGAAAGGUAAACUGGAGACUGCUUAAAACCAGACAUCAAUUUUGCCCACUUGUCCAUUUCCUAAAGAUUUUGCUGCCUUUAAACCACCUAGAUGGUCAUCCCAUAGGGAUGGGAAUUCCAAUGACCAAAUGGACCCAUCACCUCCUAUUGCUUUAAGGGCUGAAUUAUAAGUGAACUCCAAGUGAAGCCAUGUUUCACUGAAGGAGGACUUCUUGGAGAGCUGGGAUCAUAGUGUUAACAAAGGUAAGAAGGUUCUUUCUGAAGAGCUCUUCUCGCACUUCCCACUGUCCCCACCACUAGGGCUCAUAUCAUAAUUUAAUCUAGGACAUUCUAGCUCCAUUGAAACACACACGUGGUCUUGUAGUCUUUAACCUGUUACCUUCAGGGGUCAGUAGUACCAUAUGCUUUUGACCUCCUUGGCUUUUUCUGAACCUGCAUUUGGCAUAAUUCAGAAAAGAUGCUGCUCAGUUUGAAUGUGGUUUGCCCCCACCACUACUCAUAUGGAGGCUUGAUCCCCAUUGCUGCACGCUGGGAGGUGUCCACCUUAGUGAGAGGCGUUUGGUUCCUGGGAACUCUCAUGAAUGGAUCAAUGUCUUUCUCCUGUGAAUGAAUUCUGGCUCCUGUAGGACAGGAUUGAAAAAUACACACAGGGGCUGCUCCCUGUGUUUUUCAUUACAUGUACCUACUUGACCUUCUGCUUUCGACCUUGAGUUGAGGCAGCAUGAGACCCCUGAGCAGAUGCCAGCGCCAUGGUCUUGGACUUCCCAGCCUUUCGAACUGUGAAGCAAAGGAGACAUCUUUUAUUUAUGGACCCCCAGUCUCAAGUAUUCUAUUAUACCAACUGAAAAUGGACUGAGACAGAAGAUUUCUCAUAAUCUACUCAUUCAACUCUAUUUAUUGACUUUCCACUAUAUGCCUGGAAGUGGGUUAGGUGCUGAGGACACAUAAUGAAUAUGACGCAGUCCUUGUCCCCAAGAAGUUCAUGAUUGGUUGCAGAACAGUCAUGCAAAAUAAUAGUUUAGUUACAGGAGUGAAUUUUGGUGCUGUGUAAAAACAUAUCAUUUAAGUCCUAACUACAAGUUUUAAAUUCUGUUUUCUUGAUAGUCUUUGCUGGUGACCUUCCAAUACGAGGCUCACUGCUAUUUUGGAUAAAAAGAUUUUCUUGAACAUUCAUCCUGCUUUACUUCACUUAAAUGUACUAAACUUGGGCAUAGUUUGGGAGCACUCCAAGUUCAGAUGAUGAGAAGAGUAUACAUGUAGGAAAUAGGCUGAGACUUCUUGCAUGAAAUUGAUAGCAAUUAGAAGUCCUAGGAGUAGGAAUUUUUAUGGCAAGAAGAUCUUAUAAUGGUGAUUUCCAAAUUAAGUAUGAAAGGGUUCUCAGGGACAUGCUCGAGUUGAAAAGAAAUGUCAAAGGUAAUAUCAAAUGUAUUUAAUUGCCAGUUGUUUAUCAUCAGACAGUAUUUCAGAGCCAACAGCUCAAAGCAUGAAACUUAAGUGUGGUUUCUCUAGCUUAUUUCUAUAUCCUCCCAUAGCAAAGCAAUUCUACUCCAGAGUUAGUCACAGUUUGUUGUUAGUCAUACACAUUAUCUGACAAAUCUUUGAUCAUCCAGUAAAUUUUAUGUUAUAUAUAUUUUACCACCUUAAAAAUUUGUAAAAAGUGAGCAAAGGAUCUUAAUAGACUUUUUUUCAAUGAAGAUAUAUAUAAAUUGGCAAGAAGUUACCAAAAAGAUGCUUGGCAUCAUUAAUAAUCAGGGAAAUGUAAUUCAAAAGCACAAUGAGGCAAUGUUUCACAACCAUUAAGAAGACUAGAAUAAAAAUUCAGUUGAUGAGAAUGUAGAGAAAUUGGAAUGUGCAUACACUGCUGGCGAGACUGUAAAAUGCUGCAACAACUUUGGAAAACAUUUUGGCAGUUGUGCAAAUAAUUCAACAUAGGAUUACAAUAAGACCCAGCAAUUCUACUCUUAGGUAUAUACCUAAAAGAAGUUAAAACAUAUGUUUUAAUUAAAACACAAGAACUUGUACACAGAUGUUCAUAGUAGCAUUAUGUUUUAAGAGAUUUAUUUAUUUUAUUUUAUAAGAUUUUAUUUAUUUAUUUGAGAGGUAGAGUUACAGACAGUGAGAGGGAAAUACAGAGAGAAAGGUCUCUGGUUCACUCCCCAGAUAGCCACAACGGAGGAGCCAGGAGCUUCCUCUGGGUCUCCCAUGUGGGUGCAGGGGCCCAAGCUAUUGGAUCAUCUUCUACUGCUUUCCCAGGCCAUAGCAGAGAGCUGGAUUGGAAGAGGAGCAGCCGGGACUCGAACCGGUGCCCAUAUGGGAUGCUGGCACUGCAGGCAGAAGAUUAACUCAUUGAGCCACAAUGCUGGCCCCAGAUUUAUUUUAGAGGCAGAGUUACAGAGAGAGAGAGAGAGAGAAAGGUCUUCCAUCCACUGGUUCACUUCCCGAAUGGCCAGAACACCUGGAGCUGAGCCCAUCCAAAGCCAGGAGCCAGGAGCUUCCUCCAGGUCUUAUGUGGAUACAGAAACCCAAUCACUUGGGCCACCUUCCUCUGCCUUCCCAGGCCAUUAGCGAGAGCUGGAUCAGAAAUGGAGCAGUCAGGACUCGAACUGGCACCUGUAUGGGGUGCUGGUGCUCCAGGCAGAGGCUUGACCUACUAUGCCACAACGCUGGCCCCAGUAGCAUUACUCAUAGUGGCCAAAAAGUGGAAGCAGCCCAAAUUUCUAUGAAUUGAUGAAUGAAUAACAAAAUAUUGCAUU